GUGGUACAAGCUCUAGCCACACACUAACUUUAUGCUUCGUUUGUCGACCUCGUGUAAUUUUGUCUUUGUUCCUUUUGCAGAUUUAGAAAACCUAAGCUUUGGAUAUAUGUCACUGUGUACUGACUACGUCUUCGGAAAUUACUCUGGAUGAUCAAGCCUAUCUAUGCUUUGUAGAUUUCAUAUCCUAUCUCCUGUCUUCGUUUGGAUUCACAUCAAGCUGGCAGUUUUCUGCUCCCGUCGUCUCCUGGACCAAACCGUAAGCGUAACCUGUCCACCCUCCGACGUAAACACCUGCACACCGAACUCAUUCCGGUCCGUUCCGAGCUCACACUGAACAGCACCUAAGGAACCUCCUACAGACUCACCUUUGUCUAACCUGGAUCCUGAAUCUCUCUACCCCUGGUGACCUGACCACAGCUACUUAGUAAGCAGAACUAUCGAUCAUAUUAGUUUAUUGUUCUUAGUUUCAUUAACUUUUCGAGUCCCUGUUCUCACUCGUUCUCUUCCCCUUUUUCCAUACAGUUGGAGUUUCGGCCAUUACAUUCCUGAUUAUCUUCCUUUAAAUAAACAACCUUUUACUGAUUUUGUUCUUCGGAGUGUUUCUCUGUAUGUGGGUCAGAUCUAUUGCAAAAAUAAUGACAGAACACUCUGGCCAACAAGACCCAGCAGAGGCGCUCCGUAGAACUCUCUCUGAACAUGCCAACCAAAUCCACUUUCAUGAUUCAUUUCUCUGUUCCCUUUCAGAGCAAUAACGCCAUACAAAUCAAAAGCUAGAAAGAUUGCCUCCAUGUUACAACAAACCUUAGGUACUCAGUCCACCACACCUGCAGAUAGCGCUACUGCAUCACCGGUAUCCCAACAACUACCUCACUCUUGUGAUGUCACUUCCUCUAAUCCGGAUAAGUUUUCGGGUGAGGUAGGCAAUUGUGGGGGAUUUUUGCUUCAGUGCUCUUUGGUUUUCAACCAAUCCCCCUGCUCUUUUCCCCAUGAUGACGUUAAAAUUUUGUAUGUUAUUGGAUUACUGACUGGCAAAGCUUUACAGUGGGCUGAAGCCUGGUUUCCUGAUUGCCGGGAAUUUGUUUGUACUUUUGAUGAUUUUAUUAAAGAGUUUAAGAAGACUUUUUCCCCUGUAUUAGACAAGUCUAGUGCUGGCCGACAGAUACGUCACCGACCCAUUACAGUUUUCUAUCGAUUUUCGUACGUUAGCAGCCACUUCAGGCUGGAAUAAUGAAGCUCUAAAAACUACCUUUUUGCACGCUUUAGAUGAUUCACUAAAGGAUGAACUUACUAUGAUUGAUGAACCUCCUACCUUAGAUGAGGUUAUUUCUUUAGCAACCUGAGUUGACAACAGAAUAAGAGAGAGAAGGAGAGCCAGAGCAGAAAGGUCAAAUUAACACUCCCAGCUGAAGAGUAAUUUUCCACCCUUUGUCAAGGCUCUAUCUUAGCAAGCCGACAAGGUGAUUGAUCUGACUCAUGUGCCCCUCGAAUACCAUGACCUUAAGGGAGUUUUCAGUAAAAGUAAGGCCUUAUCCUUACCACCUCACAGACCCUAUGAUUGCGCAAUCAACCUUCUUCCCGGUGCACCUCUGCCCUCUAGCAGACUCUAUAACAUCUCUCGUCCUGAACAGAAAUCUAUGGAAGAUUAUAUAAAUGACUCUUUGUCUGCAGGAAUUAUUUGGCCUUCCUCCUCACCACGGUUCGUUACGUCCCUGCAUUGAUUAUAGGGGCUUAAAUCAAAUCGCCGUUAAAAAUAAGUACCCACUUCCCCUCAGCACUUCCGCUUUCAAACCCGUUUAUGGUGUCACCGUUUUCUCCAAAUUAGAUCUCUGUAAUGCUUACCAUUUGGUCAGGAUCCGCCAGGGGGAUGAGUGGAAGACGGCUUUCAAGAUGCCGUUGAGCCAUUUUGAGUAUUUGGUCAUGCCUUUUGGAUUAUGCAAUGCUCCUGCUGUAUUUCAAGCCUAAGUUAACAAUGUUCUCAGAUAUUUUUUGAACAUUUUUGUUUUCGUAUACUUGGAUGACAUUCUGAUUUACUCCAAGGACGUACAGGAGCAUCGCAAACACGUUUGCCAAGUUCUUCAACGCCUUCAGGAGAAUCACUUCUUCGUAAAAGCCGAAAAGUGUAAGUUUCACCAAUCUUCAAACACUUUUUUAGGCUACAUCCUUCAGGGUGGACAGGUAUGUUCAGAUCCAGAGAAGAUAAGACUGGAGUGGCCGGUGCCUGACUCAUGCAAAUCAUUACAGCUUUUUCUAGGAUUUGCUAACUUACCGACGUUUCAUUAAAGACUAUAGUCUUGUUGCUGCACCUCUGACUGCUCUGACUUCCUCAAAGAUAUCCUUCUCCUGGUCGUCCGAAGCCGAAGCAGCUUUUCGAGCUCUCAAGGAGAGGUUCUCUCAUGCCCCCAUCUUGGUCCAUUCAGAUCCCUCAAGACAGUUCAUCCUGGAAGUUGACGCCUCUGACAUUGGAGUCGGAGCGGUGCUAUUGCAAAACUCAGAAGAUGGGAGACUUCAUCCUUGUGCUUUCUCUUCUGGCAGGUUCAGUAAUACUGAAAAGAUCUAUGACGUGGGUGACAGAGAGCUGCUGGGGAUCAAAUUGGCCCUUGAAGAGUGGCGCCACUGGCUUGAGGGGGCGAAGCAUCCCAUCCAAGUCUGGACUGAUCACAAGAACUUGGCCUACCUACAGUCAGCUAAAAGACUUAACCCACGUCAGUCUCGCUGGUCCUUAUUUUUCUCUCGUUUCAAUUUAUGCAUUUCUUUCAGACCCGGACCAAAGAAUACUAAGCCGGAUGCCCUCUCCAGACAGUUUGCCACAGACGAUUUGGUGAAGGAAGCUGCGCCUAUCCUACCGCCCAGUUGGACGGUUGGCGCACUCAGAUGGGAGAUUGAGGAUACUGUACUAAAGGCUCAACAAUAGGAACCUGAACCUGGCAAUGGACCACCUAACCCCAUCUAUGUCCCAUCUACAGUACAAUCCUAAAUAAUCGAUUGGUUACACACAGCAAAAUCUUCUGUCCAUCUAGGUGUUAGUAGAACUAUUGCAUUAGUUCAAAGAAGGUUUUGGUGGCCAUCUUUACACAAAGAUGUGAAGGAGUUUGUUCAGUCUUGUGCUACUUGUGCCAGAAAUUGUCAGGAUCUGUGUGUUGUCUUGUUGUUGUUGCACUGUGCUUGGCCUCUAGGUGGCUCUGGGUUCGUGAGGAGUGGUGGAAGGUGUCCCAUAUUCCCUAAUCAUCCCUGGAGGGUACUUAAGAUGGAGGCCGCCAGCAGUUCAGCGCCAGAGUGUUGCUCUCAGUGACUGGAUUCCUAUGCCUGACCUUGUCUUUGAAGAAUCCUCAUCAACUUGGAUGUUUUUGUCACUGGAGAAGGAUUUCUUAGCCACGUGGAUUAUACCUGGUUUGCCAAUACUUUGCUUCCUAAGUUACUGGCUGGCGGCUAUUCAGACGGUGCAUUUCCUGGAACAACUACGGACCACCACAAGCGAACCCUGUCCACCCUCCCACACAAUAACAUCAUCAGCCGAACCUCAGAGUUACCUCAAAGUGAGUCCAAGUACCUACAAGCUCUGUUCAUCUCAGUGUGCAGUUCCAUUGUUAUCUCACCCUCUCCUGGCGGAUCAAACUCCCCUCCCUAUUGUCUUCCGGUUCCAGCUCCACUUCCCUUUACCUGCUCACUGUAAAAUAAAACCUCUUGUAAAACUUCA